UAAUACGGAGGGUGCAAGCGUUAUCCGGAUUUACUGGGUUUAAAGGGUGCGUAGGCGGGCUUUUAAGUCAGUGGUGAAAACUCCGAGCUUAACUCGGAAACUGCCAUUGAUACUAUUAGUCUUGAAUUUAGUUGAGGUUGGCGGAAUGUGUCGUGUAGCGGUGAAAUGCUUAGAUAUGACACAGAACACCGAUUGCGAAGGCAGCUGGCUAAACUAAAAUUGACGCUGAGGCACGAAAGUGUGGGGAUCAAACAGGAUUAGAAACCCUGGUAGUCCACACCCUAAACGAUGAUUACUCGAUGUUGGCGAUACACUGCCAGCGUCUAAGCAAAAGCAUUAAGUAAUCCACCUGGGGAAUACGAUCGCAAGAUUG
rnacentral:rRNA from 1 species